rnacentral:lncRNA from 1 species
GGAACGAGAUGUACAGUGAAAGUGUGCUGACAUCACAGCCAUUAUUGAAUGAUAAAGUAAAUAGCUGGUUGUACUAAUGUGCAGACUUGACAGCACUGAGAAACAUGAACUUCCAUAUGGAAAAUAUGGAAACGGAAGUCGACAGAUUCACAUAACGAUCUGAGUCAGUGUUGUUUCUGCUUGAGCAAACAAUUUUGAUUUAAAGGGAGAAGAUGACUGAGCAAAUCAUGAAGAGGUCUGGUGCCUCAGGUCUCUGUGGCUGCAGACAUUUCCUACCAAUGAUGCUGAGCAGAAACAAACUGUUGCCUUUAACGGCAUUGGGAAGUAUCUGGGACGUGCUCCCAGUCGAAUUGGGAAGUGACCCAGGAGCACAAGGAAUUACGUGGCAUAAAGGAGGAUUUGCUGUGUCAGUGGUGAAAUCCUUUGACUCUUACACGAAGGCCGAGAUUCAGUUCAGCUGAACCGAAUGGAACGUGUGCAGAAAAACCAACUACACAGAAGUGGAAACCUGUCAGUUUGACAAAUACUGCAGCAGAGCUUGUGUCACCCAGAGUCAGUACUUCCCUGUGGUGAAGUGCAUGUUUGACUGGCAAGGCCUCAAGAUAAUUUUCUCUUGGCUGAGGCUCUGUGCAGGCACUGAUGUGAGCUGUCACAGCCUCCUCUCAGGGCUCUUCUGAGAACUGGACAUGUUCUUGCUUGAUAUACAUUGUCAAAUUUCAUCCAUAUCUCUGUGUUUGAAAUUUUUGCUCAUCUAAAAUAUGUGAGGUGUUAAGAAACACCAAUGAUAUAUGAUCUAAUUUUUUGGACACGAUGCACAGGGUGUUUUAUCAAGAGAAAAUAAUGCAUGACACUGGAAAUACUUAGGCUGGAAUACUGAAAAGCAUGGUGACACUUGAUGGGUAGAAGUACCAUGUUGUAGGGGUGUCUGCCAGCUGUUCUCAAGAUAACUUGUCAUCAGGGAGAGAAACAAGUGCGUGAACAGGGCAGAACUGCCAGCCUGUUUAUUUGUAAGGAUAUAAUUGUCAGAAAAGUAGUCCAUAUUUGUUAUGUGCAGACAUGAAAAAUGAAGCUGAAGAACCAGGCAUGUGUGUCCUGAAGCCACAGAAGGUAACAAGCACUCUGCUGCAACGAGUGGAUGUGUAAAGGGGUGAAAAGCUGAACCUGUAUUUCUGUAGUGCUGGAAGGAGGGGCUCUGCCUUCUUGCAUAGUAAGAUAUUUGAGCAUUCAACAUUUGGCAUUCUCUCUCUGCCCCAAAUUCCUCCAUCAUCUACUUCCUUGGCUUAGUGGUCUGAGCUCCCAGACACAAACAGGCUGAUAAAUGUGCCUGGGGUAGGAAGAAGGGGUCAUCAGGAACCAGGGCUCACAUGCAAACAAAAAAGAUAACCAGUGUGGAUGCAGGGCUUUGCUGUGACAGUCAUCGUGCAGGGCCUAGUGCAUGGCUUCAGGCCUGCAGGGGAUGUGGGGGGCUCUCGCUGCAAGCAGGUGCCUGAGCUGGAUGAAAUUCCCCUAACGUGUGCUAAGCCUGUACCAAACAUGGCCAGACAGGAUAAGUAGAAAAGAGUCACCAGUUUAAAAGCUAUCCGGGAAGGUGUCCAAUGAGGUUAUCAUACACUUGAUAUGGCGCAGGGGAGUUACAGCUUUAAGGCACACCUUCUUGCUAUUUGAACUUGUUUUCUGUUGGUACUGGCUGCAUCUGGCUGGCAUGUUCACUAUUUAUGUGCAAGUUAUUAGCUUUCUGCCUUUUUCACCAUUUCCUUUUGUGCAGAACUACAAGGUCUUCAAAAAGUGAUGGCAUACUUUGUGUUUGAGUUGGAGAAGAAAGAAGAUAGAGAUCAUGUAUGGCUGGGGGUUUUCUGUUUGUGAUGACUCCAUCAUAAAUAAUUCAUUGUGCAGGCACCAGUGAAAUGGAAAAAGAUUCAUAACUUCUUUGAGCCUGUAAAUAUUCAAACGUUAUACUCCAAAAUUAAUUAGAAGCAGUUAAUAUCAAACAUAUCCUGUAGUACACGUUGCUUAAUCAAGACAGGUAGAGCUGCCAGUGUUUCCAGCCUUGCAUUUCAUCUAAGAAAUAAAAGGAUUUUCUAAAUGUUACA